UACGAAGGGGGCUAGCGUUGUUCGGAAUUACUGGGCGUAAAGCGCGCGUAGGCGGACCUGCAAGUCGGGGGUGAAAGCCCGAGGCUCAACCUCGGAACUGCCUUCGAUACUGCGGGUCUCGAGUCCGGGGGAGGUGAGUGGAAUUCCUAGUGUAGAGGUGAAAUUCGUAGAUAUUAGGAAGAACACCAGUGGCGAAGGCGACUUCCUGGCCUGUUCUUGACGCUGAGGCGCGAAAGCUAGGGUAGCAAACGGG
rnacentral:rRNA from 1 species